CUGUCCCUUCCAGCGCUCCGCAGACUCCGAUGACAAGGAUGGGCCAGCUGUCACUCAUCUCCAUCACCACUUCGAGAAAAAAGAAGGGUCGUACCCAGGGAUGUAGCCCACCUUCAACGUGAAGGUGAGACCGCAUUCCUUCCUACCGCCUAUGCCCCCCAUCCUGCCCCUACUGCCUAUGCCCCCUCCAUCCUGCUCCUACCGCCUAUGCCCCCAUCCUGCCCCUACCGCCUAUGCCCCCCAUCCUGCCCCUACUGCCUAUGCCCCCUCCAUCCUGCUCCUACCGCCUAUGCCCCCCAUCCUGCCCCCUCUGCCAGUUGUUUCUGGUUCGGUUUUGUUCUUCUUUAGCAAGAGAUAGAUUGGUGCUAUCUCUCCCACGGGUAAACCAGGUGAGGGAACGCAGGUUGGUGUCACACAGGAAAAACAGCAAGUGAAGGGAAGAGUUCAGAUAACUUGAGCUUCGAGUGCUGGUGCCUAAUUACUCGCUUCAGUCACAGGCAAACAAUGGAGCAGUCAGGAGGUGGCAAUAAAUUCUUGAAAGGUCCAUGUCCUCUCCACAUGCGAAACUUCCUGCAGGACGCAAGUGUCCCUGCCCGCUUGGCCUGGCCGCCAGGCCUGUGACAAUGCUGCCACCUGCUGCUGCCUGGCUCCUCGGGUGCGAGUGGCUCAGGAGCACCGUCCUCGGAGCCGGUGCUGGGAGAGCAGGCCUUUUGUUCGGGCUGCUUCCUGGGUUUCCUUUUCCCUGCCCUUCUCCAGGCCCAACUCAGAGCUCUCUGUGCCGGUGGCCUGGGCUCCCCUUGGAGACAAGCCCUACUCGGUGCAGGUGCACCAGCUCGGGUGAGAAGCAGACACACAGUAGGGGCCAACGUGACACACACUCCUUAGACAUCUGCAUCACUCCCAAAGUCCUCUACACAGGAAGGAGAUUUGGAGCAAAACCGGUAAGCAGAAGAUGGAGAUGAAGAAAGUGUGUUUGUAACUCAGAAGGAAGAGCCCCCACCCUUGGAGAAAGUGAUGUGCCUGGGAAGAGACAGGUCAUAAUGAGGAGAGAAAAGGCGCCUGGCAUUUGCAUGGCCCCGACAUGGAGCCCUGACUUAGAGAGGGUGUAAUUAGAGCUCUCUCUGUGCAGGAACAAAGGCCUGUCACGAUGAAGAAGAGCCCCAAGCUAAGCAGAACCCCGGCCACCUACAUCUUUCAUUUCCAUCCCCCUGCCUUGAAAGAGGGAAAUAUAAGAAAACAGGUAUGGGG
rnacentral:lncRNA from 12 species